GGACAGGUGGCCGAGUGGUUAAUGGCAGCAGACUGUAAAUCUGCCCUCCCUUGCGGAGUACGAAGGUUCGAAUCCUUCCCUGUCCACCA
rnacentral:tRNA from 1 species